rnacentral:rRNA from 1 species
GACGAGCCUCACAAACGUUAUUCGGAAUUACUGGGCUUAAAGGGUGCGUAGGCGGCGCGGAAAGUUGGGUGUGAAAUCCCUCGGCUCAACCGAGGAAUUGCGCUCAAAACUACCGUGCUCGAGGGAGAUAGAGGAAUGCGGAACUUACGGUGGAGCGGUGAAAUGCGUUGAUAUCGUAGGGAACACCGGUGGCGAAAGCGGCAUUCUGGAUCUCUUCUGACGCUGAUGCACGAAAGCUAGGGUAGCAAACGGG